AAUUAUAGUAAAUACAAAGUAGACGAUGUGAGCGGCGCGCGUGGAGGUUACUGUGCAAAUAUUUCUCGUUUUACCAUGACUAAUCACAAGAUACAGUUUGUGGGGGCGCCGUGUGGCCAUCAUGGCAAUUACACAUUCUACAAAGCGUUCAAAUACAACCUGCACGGAAACCAGAAAAUAUUGUCCCUGGGUGAAUUUUUCCUGGUCAAGAUUUGGGAGGAAGAGGACAUUAUAUCAAUAGGCGAGGCACAGUUGCUUUGGGAAGACCGCACCUCGGGCCAAAUCCUCGUCUCCCUCAGGAUAUACUUCCUCCCCGAGAACACGCCGGAGGGAAGGUGCGAGGAACAUGGAGAGGUGAGUGCUUGUGGCUGUCCCCUUCUAGCUGCUGAGACGACGAGAGUGAGUGUUAACCUUAAGGAGCUUGUAGUACGUAGGAAAGGGAAAGGAGGAGGAGGAGGAGGAGGGAAGGGAAAGAAGGAGGAGGAGGAGGUGUAGGGAAAGAGAAGUUAAGAAGUGUAGGGAAGAGAGAGAAGAAGGAGAGGAAAAGGGGGAGUAGGGAAGAGAAGGUAAAGGAGGUGUUAGGAAGAGAAGGAAGGAGAGUAGUAUGGAAGAGAAGAGAAGGGAAGAAGUAGUAGAAGGCGAUCGAAGAGAAGGGAAAAGGGGAAAAAGUUGCAAGUUUAGUGAAAAGAAGGAAAAGGAAAGGAGGAGGAAAUCGAGGAACGAGAAGGGAAAUGAAAAGAUGAAGGGAAGAAGAGGGAAAAGAAGGGCAGGGAGAUGAUGUGCCGUUGGUGAGGUUUUACAGAGGUGCCGUGUGGUGACGGUUUAUCAUGUUGUUUUGUGAUGUGAGAAUAUGUUAUGUUAUGUGGUGAGGUUUUACAGUGGCAAGUUAUGUGAUGUGAUGUGAUAUGUUAUUGGUGUGGUGAAGGCAUAUAUAGUGGUUAUGUGGAUAGUGGAGGUGGUGGUGGUGGUGGGAAUUGGUAAGGGUUUAAACUUUAUGCUAUGUGAUAUGGUGAAGAUAUACUACAAUGGUUUCAUGUUAUGUGGUGUGAUCCUAAUGGUGGUAGUGGUUGUGGUGAGAGGGAAAAAAUGUGAUGAGGUUCGCCUUUUAACGUGUGGAGGGAAGCGUGGAGUAAUGUGGAGAGGUGAGGUGGAAGGGAAGGAGAAAGAGAGAGGGGAGGAGGAGGAAGAGGGAGAUAGGAAAGCGAGGGAACUGGAGUAGAAAGAAAAUGUGGGAGGCAGGAAAAGGAGGGAAUUGGAGAAAGAAUGUGGAAGAUUGGGAAAGGAGGGGAACAGAAUAGAGGAAGGAAAGGAGAAAGGGAAAAGGAGGUAGGGAAAGGAUGGAAGUUGAAGGAUGGAAGGAAGGAGCCAUAUGGAUAAAGGCAGGGAAUAAGAAAAGGGAAGUGAAGGAGAAAAGAAUGAAGGAAGGAAAGGGAAGGGAAAAGAAGGAAGGAAGGAUCAUAUGGUUAGCUCAAGGUUGCAAGAAAGAAUAAAGGAAAUUGAUAGCGAAGAAGAGGAAGGAAGGAAGAACAAAAAUGUGAAGGCUAGGAAAAUGAAAGGAAGGAAGGAAGGAAGGAAAGGGCUUAUCCAUAUGGUUAAAGAGAAGUGCAGGGCAGAAGAGAAAAGAGGGAAAUGGAGGAGAAAGAAAAUGUGGAAGGUAGGAAGAGGAGGGGCCAUGUGGAUAGAGAGGCAGGGAGGUGGAGCAGAAAAAAUAAAUAAGGAGUAAAAAGAAGGAAGUAAGGAAAAGUUCAUGUGGUUAGAGAGAAGAAAGAAGGAAUAGAAAAGCCAGGGAGGGGAGGGUAGUGGAGGAGAAAGAAUGUGGAAGAGGAGGAAAGUGGAGGAACGAUUUAUGAUUGGGGCGGUGAAGGGGAAAAUAUAUUGCGAGAGAGAGAAAGAGAAAAGGGAAAGAACAAAGAUUGAGAAUGGAACGAAGAAGAGGAGGAGGAGGAGGAGGAAAAGAAAAAAGAAGUGGAGAAAGAAAUUGUAUAAGGAGUUAGUGGAAUGGAUGGAUUAGGAAGGAAGAAAUAUUAGCGGAUUGGAAAAGAAAAGAAAAUGAGAAAAUAAGACGAAAACAGAAGAAAGCGAAUAAGAGAAGGGGGAAAAUUUAAUGAGGAAGAAAAGGAACAAGAGAGAGAAGGGAGAAGGAGAAGAAUGGGAUAAUGGAAGAGAAGGGAAAGAUUAACAGAAGGAAAAAGCAUACGAAAGGAAGGGAAAAAAAAGAAAGUGAAUGGAAGAGAAAUUGAAAUGAAAGGCAGACAGGAGAAACAGGAAUAAAAAAGAAGAAGAGAGGAAUGAUGGAAGGGAAGGAAAAUGAACGAAAAAAAAAGAAAGUAUGGAAAAGAAAUGGAUUGACGGAAAGGAAGGAAAAGAUAAACUAGAGAAAAAUGAAUACAGGAAAAAUGAAAAAAAGAAAAUGUCUGAAAGAGAAAUCGAAAUAAAAAAGAAAACAAGGAAAAUACCUCUCCCUCUUUUUCAUAGGAACAGCGCAUUGCAGACAUUUUUUUAUCAUUUUCUCAUAUAUUUAAAACCUUGCCUCUGCUCCUAAUGCUGAAAAGAGAAAAUGGGGAGAGAAAUGAAAAGAUGAGAGGAGAGGGGAGGAAAUGGAUGGGAGAGAAAGAAGGGGAAGGAAGGAAGGGAAGUGGAAGAAAAAAAAAGAUAGGACGACUUGAAAGGGAGAUGAGGAAAGAGAAGAAGGAGGCGAUAUGGAAUGGAGAGAAAAGGUUAUGAAGGGAAGGGAAAAUAUAUUGAUGAGAGAGAGAGAGGGGAAGGGAAGAAGGAAGGAAGGAAGUGUCAGUCUGGUGGAAGGAAGGAAAAAGGAGGAAAAGAAAAAGAAG